CCUACGGGAGGCAGCAGUGAGGAAUAUUGGUCAAUGGGCGAGAGCCUGAACCAGCCACGUCGCGUGAAGGAUGAAGGAUCUAUGGUUUGUAAACUUCUUUUAUAUGGUAAUAAAGUGAGGAACGUGUUCCUUUUUGUAUGUACCAUAUGAAUAAGCAUCGGCUAACUCCGUGCCAGCAGCCUCGGUAAUACGGAGUAUGCGAGCGUUAUCCGGAUUUAUUGGGUUUAAAGGGUGCGUAGGUGGUUAAUUAAGUCAGCGGUGAAAGUUUGUGGCUCAACCAUAAAAUUGCCGUUGAAACUGGUGGACGUGAGUACAUGUGAGGUAGGAGGAAUGCGUGGUGUAGCGGUGAAAUGCAUAGAUAUCACGAAGAAAGUCGAUUGCGAAGGCAGCUUACUAAACUAUAACUGACACUGAAGCACGAAAGCGUGGGGAUCAAACAGGAUUAGAUACCUGGGUAGUC
rnacentral:rRNA from 1 species